GCACAGAUGUCCGAGCGGUUAAGGAGGGUGACUCAAGCUCACCUGGGGCAACCCGCGCAGGUUCGAGUCCUGCUCUGUGCA
rnacentral:tRNA from 1 species